UUGUGUUCUUUAGAGACAACGGGUGAGGAGGUGUUGUGUUCUUUAGAGACAACGGGUGAGGAGGUGUUGUGGUGUUUAGAGACAACGGGUGAGGAGGUGUUGUGUUCUUUAGAGACAACGGGUGAGGAGGUGUUGUGUUCUUUAGAGACAACGGGUGAGGAGGUGUUGUGGUGUUUAGAGACAACGGGUGAGGAGGUGUUGUGUUCUUUAGAGACAACGGGUGAGGAGGUGUUGUGGUGUUUAGAGACAACGGGUGAGGAGGUGUUGUGUUGUUUAGAGACAACGGGUGAGGAGGUGUUGUGUUGUUUAGAGACAACGGGUGAGGAGGUGUUGUGGUGUUUAGAGACAACGGGUGAGG